CCUACGGGAGGCAGCAGUGGGGGAUAUUGCACAAUGGGGGGAACCCUGAUGCAGCGACGCCGCGUGGGUGAAGAAGCGCCUCGGCGCGUAAAGCCCUGUCAGCAGGGAAGAAAAUGACGGUACCUGAAGCAGAAGCCCCGGCUAACUCCGUGCCAGCAGCCGCGGUAAUACGGAGGGUGCGAGCGUUAAUCGGAAUUACUGGGCGUAAAGCGCUCGUAGGCGGUAUGUCAAGUCAAGGGGGAAAUCCCCGGGCGUAACGUGGGAACUGCCGUUGAAACUGGCAAACUGGAGUGUGUGAGAGGUGUGUGGAAUGCCAGGUGUAGGAGGGAAAUCCGUAGAUAUCUGGAGGAACAUCAGUGGCGAAGGCGACUAUCUGGCACAGAACUGACGCUGAGGAGCGAAAGCGUGGGUAGCGAACAGGAUUAGAUACCCCGGUAGUC
rnacentral:rRNA from 1 species